AUACACCCAUCUAUUCAUUUCUCUCUCUCUCUCUCUCUCUCUCUCUCUCUCUCUCUCUCUCUCUCUCUCUCUCUCUCUCUCUCUCUCUCUCUCUCUCUCUGUCUCUCUAUCUCUAUCUCUCUCUCUCUCUCUCUCUCUCUCUCUCUAUCUCUCUCUCUCUCUCUCUCUCUCUCUCUCUCUCUCUCUCUCUCUCUCUCUCUCUCUCUCUCUCUCUACUAAUACCAAAAGGAGGAUAAAUCAAGCUAUGUAAAUAAUGAAAAAACGAUGUAAUAUAUGAUUUAUGAAAAUGAAAACAAAACAGGCAAGGUAGCUUUUGGAAUGGUUACGUGUGAGCGAAAUACUGAUGCGCACACACACACACACACACACGCACACACACGCACGCACACAGCUCGAACACAAUCAUAUCACAAUGUUUAGUUUUUUUCUUCCUUUUUCUUCUAUCUCUCUGUUUUAGAUUCUGCAAUACAACACUACUUGGUGGACAAAAAAUUAUUAAAGAGUAUAGGAAGUAUGAAAAAAGUAUGUAGUAUAUCUUAUUUUUAGAUGAAGAAAACGUAAACUGGUUGCCGCAAGAGUUAAAAUGAAUGGUAAAUGUAUAAAUAAAUCCUUCUUUCACGUACAGCAGAAAAAACGUCGAUCAUUGUUUCUAUAUCACAGUGAAGAAAAUUGAUCGGUUGAUGUCACUGCAAAAGGUAUAAGGACUUAAAAGAGAACGUUAAACUGCUAUUUCAACUAUCGUAAAUCAGAAAGUCAAUACCUGCCAAUACCUGUUAGAUUGGUUGACAUCAUUGCAAAAGGUAAGGACUUAAAAGAGAAUGUUAUACUCCUCUUUCGACUCAUAAACCAGAAAGUCAAUACCUGUCAAUACCUGUUAGAUUGGUUGACAUCAUUGCAAAAGGUAAGGACUUAAAAGAGAAUGUUAUACUCCUCUUUUGACUCGUAAACCAGAAACUCAAUACCUGUCAAUACCUGUUAAGUGAUGGUUCUCAGUCAGACAGCAAGUCAAUUUUCUAAACCUGUUACCUACCUCUCUUCUACCCAGUGUGAAAAUCAAUUAUUGCAAGAAAUGAGUGCUUGAAAAUUGUAUGCCGAGGAUUUCCACGUUCUCCUAACAGACACACAAUAUAUAAAAACCUGUUACCUUUGUCCUUUUCUCAUUACAUCACUGAGAAAAUAUUAAUUGGUGAUCAUAUUGGAAAAGAAGUACAGGUAAAUAAGGUAUUGAUUCUUUCUGUCAUAUCUUAUACUCAUGACUCUCCCUCACAUAGCAAGUCAAUUUCAUAUACCUGAACUGUCACCUACCUCUCUUCUACCCAGUGUGAAAAUCAAUUAUUGCAAGAGAUGAGUGCUUGAAAAUUGUAUGGUGAGGCUUUCCACUUUCCACUUUCCACUUUCCACAUAGCAAGUCAAUUUCAUAUACCUGAACUGUCACCUACCUCUCUUCUACCCAGUGUGAAAAUCAAUUAUUGCAAGAGAUGAGUGCUUGAAAAUUGUAUGGUGAGGCCUUCCACGUUCUCCUAACAGACACACGAUAUAUGAAAACCUGUUAACUUUGUCCUUUUCUCAUUACAUCACUGAGAAAAUAUUAAUUGGUGAUCAUAUAGGAAAACAUGUACGGUGAGGAAAAGGUGUCAUUUCCUUGUGCUUUAUCCUUCAUAGAUGCUUCCUUACCAAGUACAGAAAGGCGAUAUUAUACACAUGUUGCCAGGCUCUCGUCCAACCACUGUGAAAAUCGAUUAUUGCAAAAGAUGUGAGCUUAAAAAUUGCCUAUAUUGCAUCUUUCCACUUCAUCCUAACAUAAAGACAAGAUAAAAACCCGUCCAUUUUGUCUCUAUAUCACCGUGAAAAUAUUAGUCAGUGAGCGUAUUGCAAGAAGUGUAUGAAAAAGAGAGAAAAUACUACAGCUUCGUCACUUCUCACAUUAUAUACACAUACUAGAUGCCUUAGAAAGUCAGUAUUAUACACAUCUUAACUUCCUCUCUGCUAACCACAAGCGACGGACCAAAUUUGUGGCUUUACUGUGUACCAGCGACGGGCCAAAUUUGUGGCUUUACUGUGUACCAGCGACGGGCCAAAUUUGUGGCUUUACCAUGUACCAGCGACAGGCCAAAUUUGUGGCUUUACUGUGUACCAGCGACGGGCCAAAUUUGUGGCUUUACUGUGUACCAGCGACGGGCCAAAUUUGUGGCUUUACUGUGUACCAGCGACGGGCCAAAUUCGUGGCUUUACCAUGUAGCAGCGACAGGCCAAAUUUUUGCCAUGAUAUAAACCCCCCAAAAUAGAUGAUGCAUAAACUGAUCACAAAUGCUUUGAUAUAUAUUAUGAAAUGGUUUGCGUGAGUGAUGAUUUUUGCUCGUUUUUCUUGCUUAGAGGGGCCUGUAAGAAACAUGAUCCCCGCAGCUACCAGGUUAAGAGGCUGUGAAGAUAGUUAAACUGCUGUGAAGAUGGAUAACAUGCCGUGGAAAAAGUUAUAAUGUCGCAUAAUCUUUCUUUUCUUUUACUGCUGCCAGGGAAAAAUAAAUAAGAAAAAAAGAAAAAAAUAAUCAAUAAAAAAAGAUAAAAAAAACAUCGGUAAAUAAUUAAAAAUAGUUAAAAUGUCGAGUAAUCUUUCCUUUAUUGCUGCCGAGAAAAAAUAAAUAAGUAGAAAAAGUAGAAAUGAAUCAAUAAAAAAAGAGAAGAAAAGAUCGGUAAAUAUAUAUGGAGGUUCGCGCUCAAAAAAAAUAAAUACAUAAGUGCGCGCGUACCAAAAAAAAA